rnacentral:lncRNA from 1 species
ACACCACCUCCAUCGUCGGCCACCGCGAAGCCAUCGUUUGCACGGCGACGGCGGCUCUAGUGGCUCCGGUGUUUACAACAACAACCUCCAAUGACGACGAUAACAGCAUGUGGGUUUAGAUCGGCGACGGGGCAGGCUAUUUCCGAUUGUUUAAGUUGACCACAGUCCAUAUCUACUCUUGCAUGUGGUUUUCUUGGCCCGAUCUGUGGCAGCUAGGGUUUCAAGCGAUGAUAGAGCUAUGGUACUAAUCGGGUGAUUAGCACGGAGCCGGCAGGAGCUUGCUUUCUUCCGAUCUUUGUUGGUUCGAAGCAUCCAUGGCAGAAAACGGAAGUAACUCAGUUUGCAAUCAAAGAAGAACGUUGAAAGACACAUCAUUUUCCUUUUUCAUUUGUCCAAAUCUUUUUCAAAAGCAUAUA